GCUCGAGUGGCGAACGGGUGAGUAACACGUGAGUAACCUGCCCUUGACUUUGGGAUAACUUCAGUAAACUGGGGCUAAUACCGGAUAGGAGCUCCUGCUGCAUGGUGGGGGUUGGAAAGUUUCGGCGGUUGGGGAUGGACUCGCGGCUUAUCAGCUUGUUGGUGGGGUAGUGGCUUACCAAGGCUUUGACGGGUAGCCGGCCUGAGAGGGUGACCGGCCACAUUGGGACUGAGAUACGGCCCAG
rnacentral:rRNA from 1 species